AUUGAACGCUGGCGGCAGGCCUAACACAUGCAAGUCGAACGAGUGGCGUACGGGUGAGUAAUGUCUGGUAAACUGCCCGAUGGAGGGGGAUAACUACUGGACACGGUAGCUAAUACCUCAUACCAUCGGAUGUUCCCAGAGGGGAUUAGCUAGUAGGUGGGGUAACGGCUCAACUCGGCGACGAUCCGUAGCUGGUCUGAGAGGAUGACCAGCCACACUGUAACUGAGAUACGGUCCAGACUCCCACGUGCGGCAGCAGUGGGGAAUAGUGCACAAGGGGCGCAAGCCUGAUGCAGCAAUGCCGCGUGUAUGAAGAAGGCCUUCGGGUUGUAAAGUACUUUCAGCGAGGAGGCGUUACUAGCAGAAGAAGCACCGGCUAACUCCGUGCCAGCAGCCGCGGUAAUAC
rnacentral:rRNA from 1 species